rnacentral:rRNA from 1 species
CUAAGACAUGCGAGUCGAGCGUCUCUAGCUAUGUUGAGACGCGGCAGACGGCUCAGUAACACGUGGCUAACCUACCCUCAGGACAGGGACAAACCCGGGAAACUGGGGCUAAUACCAGAUAGGCGAAGACGCCUGGAAUGGUUCUUCACCCAAAGGACCUUGGAGACAUGCUUCCAAGUCGCCUGGGGAUGGGGCCGCGUCCGAUCAGGUUGUUGGUGGGGUAAUGGCUCACCAAGCCUAUAACCGGUACGGGCCGUGAGAGCGGUAGCCUGGAGAUGGGCACUGAGACAAGGGCCCAGGCCCUACGGGGCGCAGCAGUCGCGAAAACUCCGCAAUGCACGAAAGUGUGACGGGGCUACCCCGAGUGCCGUCCGCUGAGGAUGGCUUUUCCUCGGUGUUACUAGCCGGGGGGAUAAGGAGAGGGGCAGACUGGUGUCAGCAGCCGCGGGUA